UAGCAUAUCAUAAGCGGAGGAAAAGAAACCAACAGGGAUUACCUCAGUAACGGCGAGUGAAGCGGUAACAGCUCAAAUUUGAAAGCUCGCUCUUUUAGGGUGCGCAUUGUAAUUUGUAGAAGAUGCUUCGGGUGUGGCCCCGGUCUAAGUUCCUUGGAACAGGACGUCAUAGAGGGUGAGAAUCCCGUAUGUGACUGGGUGCUUUCGCUCAAGUGAAGCUCUUUCGACGAGUCGAGUUGUUUGGGAAUGCAGCUCAAAAUGGGUGGUAAAUUUCAUCUAAAGCUAAAUAUUGGCCAGAGACCGAUAGCGCACAAGUAGAGUGAUCGAAAGAUGAAAAGCACUUUGGAAAGAGAGUUAAACAGUACGUGAAAUUGUUGAAAGGGAAGCGCUUGCAACCAGACUUGCGCGCUGGUGAUCAUCCGGGCUUCUGUCCGGUGCACUCGCCAGCGCUCAGGCCAGCAUCGGUUUCGGUGGUGGGAUAAAGGCCUUGGGAAUGUAGCUUCUUUCGGGGAGUGUUAUAGCCCUCGGUGCAAUGCCGCCUACUGGGACCGAGGACCGCGCUUCGGCUAGGAUGCUGGCGUAAUGGUUGUAAGCGACCCGUCUUGAAACACGGACCAAGGAGUCUAACAUCUAUGCGAGUGUUUGGGUGUCAAACCCAUACGCGUAAUGAAAGUGAACGGAGGUGAGAACCCUUAAGGGUGCAUCAUCGACCGAUCCUGAUGUCUUCGGAUGGAUUUGAGUAAGAGCAUAGCUGUUGGGACCCGAAAGAUGGUGAACUAUGCGUGAAUAGGGUGAAGCCAGAGGAAACUCUGGUGGAGGCUCGCAGCGGUUCUGACGUGCAAAUCGAUCGUCAAAUUUGCGUAUAGGGGCGAAAGACUAAUCGAACCAUCUAGUAGCUGGUUCCUGCCGAA
rnacentral:rRNA from 1 species